AGUUCGGAUUGAAGGCUGAAAUUCGCCUUCAUGAAGCCGGAAUUGCUAGUAAUGGCAGGUCAGCAUACUGCCGUGAAUACGUUCCCGGGCCUUGUACACACCGCCCGUCACACCAUGAGAGUUGGGAAUACCCGAAGCCUGUGAGCUAACUUUUAGAGGCAGCAGUCGAAGGUAGAAUCAAUGAUUGGGGUGAAGUCGUAACAAGGUAAC
rnacentral:rRNA from 1 species